UACGUAGGGUGCGAGCGUUGUCCGGAAUUACUGGGCGUAAAGAGCUCGUAGGUGGUUUGUCGCGUUGUUCGUGAAAACUCACAACUCAAUUGUGGGCGUGCGGGCGAUACGGGCAGACUGGAGUACUGCAGGGGAGACUGGAAUUCCUGGUGUAGCGGUGGAAUGCGUAGAUAUCGUGAGGAAGACCAGUGGCGAAGGCGGGUCUCUGGACAGUUCCUGACACUGAGGCACGAAGGCCAGGGGAGCAAACGGG
rnacentral:rRNA from 1 species